rnacentral:rRNA from 1 species
ACGGGUGAGUAAUACAUCGGAACGUGUCCUGGAGUGGGGGAUAGCCCGGCGAAAGCCGGAUUAAUACCGCAUACGAUCUCAGGAUGAAAGCGGGGGACCGAAAGGCCUCGCGCUCAAGGGGCGGCCGAUGGCAGAUUAGCUAGUUGGUGGGGUAAAGGCCUACCAAGGCGACGAUCUGUAGCUGGUCUGAGAGGACGACCAGCCACACUGGGACUGAGACACGGCCCAGACUCCUACGGGAGGCAGCAGUGGGGAAUUUUGGACAAUGGGGGCAACCCUGAUCCAGCAAUGCCGCGUGUGUGAAGAAGGCCUUCGGGUUGUAAAGCACUUUUGUCCGGAAAGAAAACCUCUGUCCUAAUACGGUGGGGGGAUGACGGUACCGGAAGAAUAAGCACCGGCUAACUACGUGCCAGCAGCCGCGGUAAUACGUAGGGUGCAAGCGUUAAUCGGAAUUACUGGGCGUAAAGCGUGCGCAGGCGGUUCGCUAAGACCGAUGUGAAAUCCCCGGGCUUAACCUGGGAACUGCAUUGGUGACUGGCGGGCUAGAGUAUGGCAGAGGGGGGUAGAAUUCCACGUGUAGCAGU